ACUCGCGAGAGCUAGCAAAUCCCAUAAACCGUGGCUCAGUUCAGAUCGUAGGCUGCAACUCGCCUACGUGAAGGAGGAAUCGCUAGUAAUCGCAGGUCAGCAUACUGCGGUGAAUACGUUCCCGGGCCUUGUACACACCGCCCGUCACACCAUGGAAGUUGGCCACGCCCGAAGCCGUUACUCCAACCCUUGUGGAGGAGGACGUCGAAGGUGGGGCUGAUGACUGGGGUGAAGUCGUAACAAGGUAGCCGUACCGGAAGGUGCGGCUGGAUCACCUCCUAACA
rnacentral:rRNA from 1 species